rnacentral:lncRNA from 1 species
ACUUGGACUUGACUGUGAUCUGUAAGAGAACCAGUCAUGGAUUGUCAGGUAAAAAGGCUGCUAUGAUAAAACAACAUAUGGUCAAGUAAAGGAUAUAAAGAAGGUUGUUGUCUUUGAAUCUAUUGAGUGAGAACCUCCUAAAAUAUUCUCAUGAACAUGGAGGAGGCAGGAUCUCUUUAUCUCCCUUAUAGAGAAGGAGGUCAUAGAACUCACUGGAGACAAGUGGAAAAUAAAG